UUUUGCCUACGGGGGGCAGCAGUGGGGGAUAUUGCACAAUGGGGGGAACCCUGAUGCAGCGACGCCGCGUGGGCGAUGGAGCGCCUCGGCGCGUAAAGCCCUAUCAGCAGGGAAGAAGAUGACGGUACCUGACUAAGAAGCCCCGGCUAAAUACGUGCCAGCAGCCGCGGUAAUACGUAUGGGGCAAGCGUUAUCCGGAUUUACUGGGUGUAAAGGGAGCGCAGGCGGCCUGGCAAGCCUGAUGUGAAAUACCGGGGCCCAACCCCG
rnacentral:rRNA from 1 species